AUUGAGCGCUGGCGGCAUGCCUUACACAUGCAAGUCGAACGGUAACGCGGGGCAACCUGGCGGCGAGUGGCGAACGGGUGAGUAAUGUAUCGGAACGUGCCCAGUUGUGGGGGAUAACUGCUCGAAAGAGCAGCUAAUACCGCAUACGACCUGAGGGUGAAAGCGGGGGAUCGCAAGACCUCGCGCAAUUGGAGCGGCCGAUAUCAGAUUAGGUAGUUGGUGGGGUAAAGGCUCACCAAGCCAACGAUCUGUAGCUGGUCUGAGAGGACGACCAGCCACACUGGGACUGAGACACGGCCCAGACUCCUACGGGAGGCAGCAGUGGGGAAUUUUGGACAAUGGACGCAAGUCUGAUCCAGCCAUGCCGCGUGCGGGAAGAAGGCCUUCGGGUUGUAAACCGCUUUUGUCAGGGAAGAAACGCUCUGGGUUAAUACCUCGGGGUAAUGACGGUACCUGAAGAAUAAGCGCCGGCUAACUACGUGCCAGCAGCCGCCGUAAGAC
rnacentral:rRNA from 1 species